rnacentral:lncRNA from 1 species
AUAAUCUUCAUCUACAGAAAGGUUCUAGAAUGCUCUUUCCCCCCCCCCAAAAAAAAACCUUGGGUACUGGAUAUUGAUGGUUAUUAUUACUUGGGUACCACACAGGUAACCUCUACAGCAGGUAGUUCAACAGAAGAUAUCUUUACUUUCUGAUGUAUAGAUGGGACAUGUCUUUCUGCCUGUUAGAAGACUUAUCGAGUGUAAUCCUUCCAGGACAUGUUGUGUCUCAGGUUGGCACAGAACCCUUAUUUUAGACUAUGGAAUCUUUUCCUGUACUAUAAAAGAAUAUAUGUUUGAGAAUGUAUAG